AUACGUAGGUGGCGAGCGUUGUCCGGAAUUACUGGGUGUAAAGGGCGCGUAGGCGGGGAUGCAAGUCAGAUGUGAAAUACUGAGGCUUAACCUCAGGGCUGCAACUGAAACUGCGUUUCUUGAGUGUCGGAGAGGAAAGUGGAAUUCCUAGUGUAGCGGUGAAAUGCGUAGAUAUUAGGAGGAACACCAGUGGCGAAGGCGACUUUCUGGACGAUAACUGACGCUGAGGCGCGAAAGCGUGGGGAGCAAACAGGAUUAGAUACCCUGGUAGUCCACGCCGUAAACGAUGGAUACUAGGUGUAGGAGGUAUCGACCCCUUCUGUGCCGGAGUUAACACAAUAAGUAUCCCACCUGGGGAGUACGGCCGCAAGGUUGAA
rnacentral:rRNA from 1 species